rnacentral:snoRNA from 1 species
CCUCUGGAAGAUGAAAAAUUGGUAGCAUUUAUCCUCAAUGAGCUAGAUUUUGAGUACAAUCCAUUAACUUCUUCUCUUGUAACUAGGGUAGAACCAAUUACGUUGCCUGAAUUAUACUCUCAAUUGUUGAGUUUUGAAA